rnacentral:tRNA from 1 species
GCUAAUUUGGUGUAAUACGCACAUUGGCCUUUCAUGCCAAAAGAACAUAUACCGUACUUAGCC